UUCCCUCUCCAAAUGGCACCCCUUUUUGCCUCUCCCUCUUCCGCUCACUCUACGUCUGCCAAAACCAUCAUCGCCUUCCAUAAACCACCGCCAAGUUCUUUCUCUCUCUUUUUCCUCUCCUUCCCCAUAAUAUCCUCCACCCGCUGUCACCGCUUCUUCCCUCUCUCCACCUGUCAUAUCCUCUCCUCUCCGGUCCAUCCCUGCCGUCCAUCCCCCUCCUUCCGCUCCAACCCCCUCGUCCCCCGGCCCUGUCGUCCUUGCCAUGCCGCCAGCCCUGGUCCCCCUCCCCAGGAUGACUCAGUCCCUCUCUCAGGACUUGCGGCAUCUUUGUCCAAAUUUCAAGAUAGAGUACAGAUCUUCUUUGCUGUCUUUUUUUGGAUGUCUUUAUUCUUCUGGGCUUCUGUAUGGGAUGAGAGAAGUAGACCGGACAAAGGAUCUGGAUUUAGAAGAUAGCCCAGUAAGCCUUUAUCAUGUAUAUAAUGUUUUGAUUAGGGGAAUGGCAUUAGAAUCUACAUCAAGCAGGAAGCAUUUGAAUUAGGGUAGUGGAAUAAACUUGUUUCUGUUAUAUAAAUAAAGUUUAAAUGCUGUAAUAAUCAAAGUCAAUAUGAUAUUUGAAGUAGCACCAAGCUAUUUAUCGAGGCUUGCAUUCCUUCACAA